CCUACGGGAGGCAGCAGUAAGGAAUAUUGGACAAUGCUCGCAAGAGUGAUCCAGCCAUGCCGCGUGCAGGAAGAAUGCCCUAUGGGUAGUAAACUGCUUUUGAACUAGAGAAAACCCCAGUACGUGUACUGGGCUGAUAGUAUAGUUAGAAUAAGCAUCGGCUAACUUCGUGCCAGCAGCCGCGGUAAGACGAAGGAUGCAAGCGUUAUCCGGAUUCAUUGGGUUUAAAGGGAGCGUAGGUGGACUGAUAAGUCAGUGGUGAAAUCUCCGAGCUUAACUCGGAAAUUGCCAUUGAUACUGUUGGUCUUGAGUACAGUUGCUGUGGGCGGAAUAUGACAUGUAGUGGUGAAAUACAUAGAGAUGUCAUAGAACACCGAUUGCGAAGGCAGCUCACAAAGCUGUAACUGACACUGAGGCUCGAAAGUGCGGGGAUCAAACAGGAUUAGAUACCCUGGUAGUCCGCACCGUAAACGAUGAUUACUCGCUGCUAGGGGGCAACCUUUAGUGGCUUAGCGAAAGCGAUAAGUAAUCCACCUGGGGAGUACGCCGGCAACGGUGAAACUCAAAAUGAAUUGACGGCUUGAGACGNGCGAGCGACACAGGGAGAGG
rnacentral:rRNA from 1 species